rnacentral:rRNA from 1 species
AUAGCGUAUACUAAAGUUGUUGCAGUUAAAAAGCUCGUAGUUGGAUUUCUAAUCUCUCUUGGGGUUCCUUUUCUAAAGAAAUGUGCGACCAUUCAAGAGAGAUUAUCCUCGUGCCUAGCCUUUCUCACUUUCAUUAGUCAGGAAGGGGACGCACGUCAUUUACUGUGAGCAAAAUAGAGUGUUCAAAGCAGGCUUAGGCCAUGAAUAUAUUAGCAUGGAAUAAUAAGAUAGGACUUGGGUCUAUUUUGUUGGUUUGCAGACCGAAGUAAUGAUUAAUAGGGAUAGCUGGGGGUAUUUAUAUUCCGAUGUCAGAGGUGAAAUUCUUAGAUUUUCGGAAGAUAAACUUAUGCGAAAGCAUUUACCAAGGAUGUUUUCAUUAAUCAAGAACGAAAGUUAGGGGAUCGAAGAUGAUUAGAUACCAUCGUAGUCUUAACCAUAAACUAUGCCGACUCAGGAUUGGUGAACGUUGAUUUAAUGACUUCAUCAGCACUGUAUGAGAAAUCAAAGUCUUUGGGUUCCGGGGGGAGUAUGGUCGCAAGGCUGAAACUUA